AUGUGCCCGCAGCUAGCAGGAGCUGGCAGCAUGGGCUCCCCAGGGGCUACGACAGGCUGGGGGCUUCUGGAUUAUAAGACGGAGAAGUAUGUGAUGACCAGGAACUGGCGGGUGGGCGCCCUGCAGAGGCUGCUGCAGCUUGGGAUCGUGGUCUAUGUGGUAGGGUGGGCUCUCCUCGCCAAAAAAGGCUACCAGGAGCGGGACCUGGAACCCCAGAUUUCCAUCAUCACUAAACUCAAAGGGGUUUCCGUGACUCAGAUCAAGGAGCUUGGAAACCGGCUGUGGGAUGUGGCCGACUUCGUGAAGCCGCCUCAGGCUGCCGGCUUCUGGCCUUUCCAGUCAACGCGAGCCCAGCCAGGCCAACCUUGAGACUUGCCUCCUAGGGAGAGAACGUGUUCUUCUUGGUGACCAACUUCCUUGUGACGCCAGCCCAAGUUCAGGGCAGAUGCCCAGAGGUGAGUUUGCCCAGGAUACUCCCAGCGGGCCCCUCGUUCCUCUGCCAGCUCCAGGUGGCCACCCAUGUUUCCCUUUCCCCUUCCCAGGUGGCUGAAGGCUCAGCGUGUGCUCAGUGUCCCCCAGGCACUGGGCUACAUCUUUUCAUUAAUCAUUAUGUUCAGUCUUCACAUAUCCCCUGCCUGGUAGGAAGUCCUGUGAUCCACAUUUCAGAGGAGAAGACUGAGGCUCAGUGAGGUUGAGUCACUUUCUUAAGGCCUCCAGGCCUGUGAGUGACAGGACCCUGAGCUCUGGGCAGUAGCAGUUCCCGUGAGGUGUCCAGGCCCUCCCCAUCCUGGUCCUGCCUCUGGGUAUUCUCCAGGUUGGUAGUGUGACACCCAGAGCUGGGCACAUGCUCAGGGAGGCUCUAAUAGCAAGAGCCAAGCUGGAAUAUCACCUCCCCUUCUCUGUGCCCAGCCUCUAUUAAUAUGUCCUGAGGCAGCUUUCAUCUUUGUGGACCAACACAGCACACUCUUGGUCAUGGUGAAUUCAGGAUUGCUUAUGAUUUCUGGAUAGUUUCUGUGUUUUAUUUUUGAGAUGGAGUUUCGCUCUGUCACCCACGCUGGAGUGCAGUGGCACGAUAUCGGCUCACUGCAAGCUCUGCCUCCCAGGUUCACGCCAUUCUCCUGCCUCAGCCUCCGGAGUAGCUGGUACUACAGGUGCCCGCCACCAUGCCCAGCUAAUUUUUUUU
rnacentral:sRNA from 1 species